UGACCUCAGCUCAAGCAAGAAUACCCGCUGAACUUAAGCAUAUCAAUAAGCGGAGGAAAAGAAACUAACAGGGAUUCCCCUAGUAACGGCGAGUGAAGAGGGAAAAGCUCAAAUUUUAAAUCUACCUGGUUCCCAGGUCGAAUUGUAUUUGAAGAAGCGAUAUCUGUGUUGAGGUCUGGUUCAAGUUCUUUGGAACAAGACAUCAUGGAGGGUGAGAUCCCGUGCAUGACCAGACCAAGAUACUUAAUAUUCGUUUUCUAAGAGUCGAGUUGUUUGGGAAUGCAGCUCAAAUUGGGUGGUAGACUUCACCUAAGGCUAAAUAUCAGCGAGAGGCCGAUAGCGAANCAAGUACUGUGAAGGAAAGAUGAAAAGCACUUUGAAAAGAGAGUUAAAUAGUACGUGAAAUUGUUGAAAGGGAAACGAUUGAAGUCAGUCAUGCUAGUGAAAAUUCAGUUUGACGGGUUUUGGGUUUAGGAGUAAGAGAUAGGGUCAAACCGUCUCUCUUUUAAACUUGGGAUUUGUCGGAUGCACUUUUUCUUUGGCAGGUCAGCGUCGAUUUCGGGGGUUGUAAAAUACUUGGGGGAAAGUAGCUCUGCUUCGGGAGAGUGUUAUAGACCCUGAGGGAUGCAGCCUGCGGGAUCGAGGAUUGCAGCAAAUGCCUUUGGCUUGGCGCCUGAUCUCUGGAUGUUACCUCGCUUGUGACAACAUUCUUGCCUCCGGUGAGUACUAAUGCCCAUUAGGUUAGAGCGACCAGAAAUUUGCUAAGGAUGCUGACGUAAUGGCUUUAAACGACCCGUCUUGAAACACGGACCAAGGAG
rnacentral:rRNA from 1 species